UUUCCCUCUCCCACACACGCUACUCUCUCUUUAUUGCCACGCCCGCGCACGCUGCUUCUGCCGCUGCACCUCGGAUGGGACACAUGCCUCGACCCCCCGCCGCUACGAGUUCCGAGGAGGAGAUCAAGAAGGAGGUGGCGGCCGUGGACGUCGUCGUCGCCGCACCGGACGACGAUGUGGCCGCCGAUCGGGAGGAGGAGGAGGAACAGAAGAAGAGGAAGCGGAGGAAGGAGAAGAAGAAGAGGAGGAGGAGGGCGCCGAGCGAGGAGGAGGAGGCCGCGCUGAGGUCCGUGCUCCGCUGGGCGCGCCGCGGCGAAGCGGGCGAUGAGGAGGCGGACGGGCAGCGCCCCGCUGCGACCGGGAGGCGGCGGCCGCGCGUCGCGGUUGAGCUGCACGCGCACUCGACGUGCAGCGACGGCUCGCUCUCACCCGCGGCGCUCGUCCAGCGCGCGCACCGCAAUGGGGUGAAAGUACUCGCGCUAACUGACCACGACACCAUGGCCGGCGUCCCCGAGGCCAUCGAAUCUGCGAAGCAGUGCUCCAUCAGGAUCAUACCCGGUGUCGAGAUAAGCGCCAUGUACUCACCAAGUGAUGGAAUAGGAGCCGAGGAACCCGUCCAUAUUCUCGCGUACUACGGUAGUCUGGGCCCUGCAAAACCACAAGAACUCGAUAGGUUUCUCGGUAGCAUCAGGGAUGGCCGCUAUACCCGUGCGAAGGGGAUGCUGCUGAAGCUUCGGAGCCUCGACAUGCCCAUGGAGCUCGAAGACGUGUGCACCAUUGCAGGGGAUGGAGUGGCUCCAGGCCGGUUGCACGUGGCUCGCGCCAUGGUAGAAGCUGGAUACGUUGAGAACAUUAGGCAAGCUUUUAGCAGGUACUUGUAUGACGGUGGACCUGCUUAUGCCACUGGCAAUGAACCAGCAGGGGAGUCUGUGGUGCAAUUAGUUUGUAGAAAUGGGGGUGUGGCAGUUUUAGCUCAUCCAUGGGCACUGAAAAAUCCUGUGGCUGUGAUAAAGGAUUUGAAGGCUGCUGGCUUGCAUGGCAUUGAGGUUUACAGAAGCGAUGGCAAGCUAUCAGGAUUAAGUGAUCUGGCAGAUACAUAUGGUCUUCUGAAGAUUGGUGGUUCAGACUACCAUGGACGAGACGACAAGGAUGAACCUGACGUAGGAAGUGUUGAUCUUCCGGUCUUGGCUGUUUCUGGAUUUCUUGAUGCAGCUCAACCAAUCUGGCACAAUGCUACCAAGGAAAUUCUGGCAAAUAUUACUGAAAGGGCACCUAAUGGCUCAAAGGGACUCCAAAGGACUAACUCUGCAAAAGAUUUAUGUAACUUGCGUCUUCUUUCUUCAGACCUGGAGGUAACAGAUUCUACGGAGGUUGAGGUCCUCCAAACAGAACUUUCAGAUGUUGUCCUCAGUAACUGAGGACCAUAAGACACAUAUUGAACAAUGAGCAGAAAUCACCAUCCCUCUAGACCCUCUCCAGUCACAUUGGCUGGUCUGGAGCAGUUCAAUCUAAACUGCAAUUCAAUCUGCUCAUAUUCUUGGAGAGAAUACAAAUUGUUGCAUGUGACGCCGUUUUAUAUUAUUGGCUGGCUGGAUUGGAAAAGUUUCAAACGGACAUAAUUCUAGAGAAGAUGGGUCGUGAUUGCUGGAAAUAUUCCAGAGAGAUUGAAGGAUCCCAUCGCAAUUCACAAUUCACGGGUACGGUUGAAACACUUGAAACGUUUCUUUCUUGAGCUGUAGAUGGACUUCAAGAACAGGUUCCCGGAGUGAUUUGAUCGAUGCUGGCAAAUUAACAAAUGUGUGAUUCUUUAAGAGUAAGAGAGAUUUCAAAUAGCCAUUUGUAAACUUUGUUUCUUCUCCGAGAAGAAUUCUUUGUUAGUUUUUGAAAACUUCGCGAGAAUAAAUCUUGCAAGCAAGGAAGUAGACUUCUUGCAAAACCAGCAUCAUUCAUCUUAGCGUAAUGAACUUUACAAGAUCCGAAGCUUGUAAAGUGGAGAUGAUGUUCUCCCUUUUCUGUGCCAUAUUCACAUAUAAUUUGACGCUGUAGAGAUUUGUGCUCCUUUUAUUUCUUGGAACAGAUGCUCCUUUCAGACAUGCAAAUCUCAAAACAAGUACACGUGAUUCAUCCGCUAAGGUUUUCAAUUCCAGGACAUUGCUUUUAAUGGAUGUUAAUGCAUUUUUCUUUUGUGGGGGACGUGUUUGCAGUUCAUUUUUUAAAACUACAAAAAUAAAAAGACGCUAUCUGCAGACUGAUGGAAACCAUGUGCGCCAUCUGUGGUUUGCAGCUGAAAAGAUGAUACGGUACCAAUCUCACCAGCCUCUUUGGAAACACAUUGGCAAACGCACCCUAAUGAUGGAUCUAACUGCCAUCAUGUUGCUAACUGCUCAUGGACUGCAGCUUUAACAAAUCGCAGAGUCAAGGAACUGAAAGCACAACUGUAGUUGCCAUCGUUACGAAUAGCUCCUUUAUUUUACGAAAUGUGGAUAAUUUGUUAUAUAUUUGUCUAAAACAUACUCCCUCCUUAAAAAACUUCUUGUGACGAUGUUAACAUAAGCCUAUAACUAGAUACAUAACUAGAAGUUAAUUUUUACGCACCGAGAAAGUAUUAUUAUUGUUGAAAAUAUAGUCAUAUAUCGUCAUAUUUUAAUCCAAAAUAUUAAGACAAUAAUCAUGACAUGAACAAUGUGGGGUGAUCUAGUGAUAAAAUAAAACAUAAAUAGGAGCAUGCUUAAGAUAGAAUAAGCAUCAUCAUCAUACAUAGAACGCAAUAGCAUUGUGACUAACAGAAAUAUCAAAAACCGAAAUAACAAUAGCAUUGUGACUAACAGAAAUAUCAAAAACCGAAAUAACAGUAGAGGGUUAUACCCUGUGAAAGUCUCUCCAAUGGAUUGUGAGGCAGAACUACCUCCAUUGGUGUUAUCGAUCGGUGCACCAGCUCCCGGGCAGACAUGGGUGAUGCAGACGAACAAUCGAAAACGAACAGAGGACGAGGAGCAGUCGUGCAGAAGCACUCCCCAAAAACCCGCCUACCCGGUACAGAUCUCAGGCGAAGGUGUAGUUCCGGAGGCCCUGCUCGUUCCGAUCUCUUGUGCGCGCAAGCGAUCAGAACCGGUGAAGCAGUAGCAGCACAGGCAGCGGCGCGAGGAGGAGGAAGAACCAGUGUUUGGAAAGUAACCAACCUCGGCCCGGCCGGCCAGCUCGGCUCGGCGCGCGCGCGUGGCUUUCUGAUCCCCACCUCAACCGGUAAACAGGGAGCCUCCAAUAACUCCCUAUUUAAGUUGAGAUACUCCUCUUUUAAUUCCCAGGGUGGUAUUAUUAUCCUUAACAUUUAUUAUGGCCCCUUGAGAUUUAAUAGAAAAAUCGGGCCUAGCCCAUUUAUUCUAACAAUUAUUCACUAAAUUAUAGCUAUGGACAAUCUAUUUGGAUAUUGAGAUAAAUUAAACAUUUUGAGAAACAAACUUAAUAGAUAGUUUGAAUGAUGUGGCCAGAAAAGAGAUGUAUAGACAGUCCCAAAGACGGAAUUGCUUGAGAAACCGUUCUUUUGAUAGCAUGGAGCAAAUAAUCGGUGAAUAGGCCGAAAAUAACAUGUAGUCAGAGCGGUGGCUUUGCUGCACAUUGUAUAAAGAGGGUCUGCUCGAAAUUAAGUUCACACACGCAAAGUAAGUCUGAUGAAGAUUAAAUUCACACAUACAAAAGUGAGAAAACUAUUAGCGCGUGGUUAAUAAAAUUUUAAUUAUUAUAAAAUUGAACAUGGAUUUAUUUGAUAUUUCAGAGUCAAUUAUAUAUAUGAAGUUAUAAAACAUACUCCCUCCGGGCUAAUAAUACUUAUCGUUUUAGAUAAGG